GACGAAGGGGGCUAGCGUUGUUCGGAAUUACUGGGCGUAAAGCGCGUGUAGGUGGUUGUCCAAGUUGGAUGUGAAAGCCUUGAGCUCAACUCAAGAAAUGCAUUCAGGACUGAGCGGCUGGAGUGCCGGAGAGGAACGCGGAAUUCCUGGUGUAGCGGUGAAAUGCGUAGAUAUCAGGAGGAACACCAGUGGUGUAGACGGCGUUCUGGACGGUUACUGACGCUGAGAUACGAAAGCGUGGGGAGCAAACAGG
rnacentral:rRNA from 1 species